CUCCGUCUUCCGAGUCUAUUACAAUACUUACCGUUUGUGAGUCACUUCCUUCGCUCGUUGGAAGAUCAGGAAAGGGGGAAACGAAUUGGUUUAAACUCACGUCACUGUCCAUGUGAAGAGUUGACCCGAAGAAAGAACAGGACGAUUGCUUAGCCUCUUGACGUGCCCUGGGUGUAAUCAUUUCGUUUGAAGCACCGUUCACGAAAAGAACACUUGAAAGAAAUUAUGACAUGUCCAUCAUUUCUGACCGACAGAUUGUGAUUUCUUGAAGGCAGGAAUCUAAACAGGGCACAAAGGGCCUAAACUUGAGUGUUAUAAAUUAUCGAAAUCCUGGAAAACACAUGAAAACAUAAAGCCCACUUCAUGUAAUGGAAAUCAUAUUAAAGACAUUACAUUACAGACAUCACAUUAUAGACAUAUUAUAUUAUGGACAUUAUGACUGCAUAACUUUAAUUAUGGUAAUUCUCUUUGGAGAAAUAAAUGCUACAUGCAUACCAAUUUUGUUCAAAUUUAUCACUUCCAAGUUUUCAGUGCUUUUAACUAAAUACCAUU